CGCGUAGGCGGGCCAGACAGUCUGUGGUGAAAGCCUCCAGCUUAACUGGAGAAGUGCCGUGGAUACUGCUGGCCUCGAGGAGGGUAGGGGCAUCUGGAACGGUCGGUGGAGCGGUGAAAUGCGUUGAUAUCGACCGGAACUCCGGUGGCGAAGGCGAGGUGCUGGACCCUUUCUGACGCUGAGGCGCGAAAGCCAGGGGAGCAAACG
rnacentral:rRNA from 1 species